GGUCACAACCUGAGUUUAUUGAUCCGUGGGGCCUUGUCUGGGUGCCGGGCAUGUUUUCUGGACUUUGGUUUCAGCUGCAUUCCUCACUUCUCAAAGAGGGGGUGUGGAUUUCUGCUCGGAGUAACCACUGGGAAGGAAGUAAUGUUCAUUAAGUGUGCAGGCAGUGCAGGACGAAGCAUGCUCAGUGCAAAAAGCUUCGCUCCCCUGCCUGUCAAGCCUGAGGUUUGAACUCGUUCCAGAAUGCCGGAUUUACUUUUCAGGAAGAAACAGCACCUGGCUGGGCUGCGCUUUUCCCUUCCCUCCUCCUCCUCCUCGGAGUGCAAAUAAUGUUCUUUUGAUGCUUUCCUGCCAGUGGGAAUCUCGCCCUGGAGAAGGAGACAAAACUUUGCUACCUGUGAAACGAAGACUGCUUAGGUAGCACUGGAAAUGAAAGCAAUUCUAUUUCCCACACAGGCUCCACAAAUGACUAACUUCAGUGGGAAUUGCUCAUGAAAAAGAGAAAGGAUCACCUGGAUUCUUCUGGAGCUGGGAAAUCUCCAGGAAAGACCUGCCCAAGGCACAGGAAGAAGAUCUGAGCUCUGCAGAGGCUCCAUCACACCUGGAGCUUCAGGCAAGCACCACCUCCCCUGCUUGGAGCUUCCCUGCCGAGUGCUGACGGCGGAUUGAGAGAGAAGGAAUAAACCCCAGCAUUUUAAAGCCACCCCGUGGAACAGAGGGGUCUGCCAGUGCUGGUGAAGUCUCUUUUGAGAAGCACAUGGAAAAUCUGCCAUCCCAAAUCCAGCUGCUCCUUCCCCCUGGCCAGCAGCCUGAGGAGGAGCUGUUUACAGGUGCUCCAUCCCAGCUCUGACUUCUGCUGGAUCUUUCCAUAUUCCUGAUCUCCUUUUGGCAGCUGGAUGGGAAGGGAAUGCCAUGGCCAAGGAGGGAUUGCCAAGGAGGGAUUACCAAGGUUCAAGAUGUAUUCCAAGGGAACACGAGUUCUGUGUGGCACCUCUACACCAGAACCGUGUUUGGGGCAAACCAAGAACUGAGCAGAUCCUCUUUUAUUUCCACUCAUUUUCAGGGUGGUUUCUCCCAAACCAAGACAAGCAGUCAGAAAACGUUCCAGAGGAGUUGGGCCUAGCAAUAUGGCAGCGCACGUUCCAUAGGAAAUCCUGCAGAAUGCUGCUGCUGCUGAGCUCUGUUCCCAAGGAGGGCACAAUCCCUCUGCUCCCUGCCCCGCUCCAGCCUUGACCACUGCAGGGACAGAGUUUUCUCCACCCCAGAAUUCCAACAGCAAAGCCAACCCGGAUUUUCAAAGAUGCUGCAGCACGAAUUUUUUGGCUGCUGAAAACUUUGGGGAAAAGCUGGACGCUUUUGAGCCCUCGAGCAGCGUGGUGUUAACAUUCCCAAAAAGCACCAUGGCAACCUCUCAGUGUUCUUGCCUUCGUGGUCAGCAAGCAGAAUCUCCAAAGACCUGACAGAAGAGCAGUGACUUCCAAGGCUGUUCUGCUCCAGCUUUUCAGGAAUUGCAGAAAUCCAAGCCAUGCACCCAGAAAUCCCAGCCAUGCAUCCAGCAACCAGGAAAGGACAAAGAGAAGGGGAUCAGGUGAGGGUGACAAAAGCAAUCUUGACAUUGCAGCUUCUUCCAAGGACUCCCAGCACUCCAGGGACGUGCUUCUCUCUGCAAACUUUCUUUUGCUCCAUUUCUGCAAGAAUUUCCUGCAAUCCACGUCCCUGAGAGGAUUAGUGGAGGGGAUACCAAUUUUAUUUAUAUUUAUUUAUAAAUGGACUGUAGAGACUUGGCCCCUUUUUAAAUAUGAGAACAAUUUCCAGGCCUCUUUCAGUUGUGGUUAUUUCACUCCAAAGAAGAAAAACCAAACCCAACAAACCACAGAACAAUAGAGAAAUAUGAGAAGUUGUGGAAACCCCUCAAACUUUCUCUAUUUAAGUUUUGAGUUCCUGGUGGUCACAGGACCAGGUGAUGCUGCCAGUUGUGGGGGUUUUUUUUUGUGUAGUGCCUGGCCCAGAGCAUUUGAGUUAAAUGCAAAGCUGGGAUCAAAUUAAGCAGAAUGACACCUCUAUUUUAAUUUUUUUUUUUAAUUUUUAUUUUUUUUUGGCCAGCCUGGAGGCCUUUAACAUUUUGGAAUCUGAGUGUUUGCAAAACAGGGCUGCUGGACUCCAGUAAAUGAAGUGUCCGGAUGUCGGUGGUGAUUCAUAAAAGCAAUUAAAAGAGGAAAGUGCUUUUCCUCUGAGCCUAAUGCCUUGGUUGGAGGAUGUCCUUAAGUGAGUGUGAAGUGCUCCAGCAGUGGUCAGGGGAUGGGGGCUCUUGUGUUCAGGUCAUGGAUCUGUUUCCAGCAAACACUUCUUUAUCACGUGGUGCUGCUGAUUAAAACCAAAUUAUUUUUCUCACAGAAUCCCAGAGCGUUUGGGGUGAGAGGGGAGCUCCAGAGACCACCCAGAACAACCCCCCUGGCCAGGCAGGCUCACCUGGAGCAGGGACAGGGACACAUCCAGCUGGGGCUGGGGUGGCUCCAGAAUCUCCAGCUUGUUCCAGGGCUCUGCCACCUCCGUGGGAAGCUCUACCUCAGGUUGAGGUGGAACUCUUUGAGUUUUACUUGCUGGCCAUUGCUCCUUGCCUUGUCACCAAAACCAGUCUGGCACCCUCCUCUGAGACCUGCCUAGGGGAUAUUUGUGUGGAUUUAACAACUGAGUCUUAUUUAGUUUCUAUUUCAAUAUAGUUCCCAUUUCUUCCUCCUUAAAUUUGAGGGCAAUCCCCCUGAGGAUGCAGCGUUUUCCAUGGGAGAAAUGUGGUUGUGGCAUCAAUAUCGGCGGUGACAUAUAAUUGAAACUCAUCAAAUAUGAUUUUUUUUUCUCCCCCAGCCUAGUGCAGCUGCCUGGCAUUUCUGACCUUCCCCAAACACAAUUUCUGACCUUCCCCAUUUGUGCUUUAAAGGGAUUUUCCAGGAGCAAGGCUGAGAACCCGAUGGAGGUUGUUGUUGUACACAAGGAUCCAUCGGCACGGCCACGUUACCUAAGCCAGGAGCAGACCCUGAGGCAUUCCCUACAAAAUUCCCACGUGGCUUUUCCAGCUUUCCCAACCAACCUGGUGGCUGUUGGGGGUGGUUUUCAGGCUGUCCCAGAUCAGGUCUCGCCGCCUUCUCCAAGGGGAUUCCUCUGGCUUCUCCUGGAGCUUGCACAAAUUGAAGCCGUGCCUUCCGUUGGCUUUGCCCUCCCAUCCUGCCCUUGGUUAUCCCGUGCUAAGGGAAGCAGAAGAGUUUACUGAUUUAUCAUGGAUCAUUAGGUGGAAGUAACUAUUCUUAAAACAUCAGGGUGGAUGCAAUAAUUAGGGAUGUGCUUUUGUUAACACCGCCAGCCUCUACCCUCUUGUACAGUACCCUUGGGUACUAAAUAAUUACCCAUUUUGUGUGGUUAUCUAGCUCACUAAUUACCCACAAAAAUUGGGGUCAGGUGUUAACUGCUUGAAAUAAGUAUCCUCCAAAGGCUUGGCUAAAGUGUACAAAGAAAUUAUGUGUUUGCUACAAAACUUUGGGUAAAAAAAAAAAAAUCAAACAUUUUUUUAUUGGGAAGGAAGAUAAGGAGACAAUGGAUGUGAAAUGCUCUGUGUGAUGGCAAAGUCUUGCAGCGGUGGUGAGGGACUCUAAAGGGAGUGAAAGGAUGGUUGGCAGAUACAGUCAGUAAUCCAGACUACUUUUCCCAAAGAUUAGAUCCUUCAGUACACAGGGUUUGAUUCUUCCCCUAUCUAGGCUGAUGCCAAUCAGGAUUAUGCCGGUAUAAAUAAGAAAAUUUGUAUCCGUGGAUCCCCAGACUGAUUUUGCUGCAUAAUCCCACCUCUUCCAUCACCCAGAGACUUCUGCAUUGCACCCAAUAAUUUAAUUAUGGACCGUAUAUUUAUUUCCAUGCGUUUAUUUUAGCUGUCCCCAGCUCUGUGUGCAUGCAGAAUGUCAUUCUGAGGCUGCUGCUCAUAAAAUGCAGUUUGCUUGGAGCAAUAAUUUGAUUCCUGUGCUCAGGGAGUUACCCCAGUGAGUCAAAGAUUUCUAGAUAGCCCCACCCUCCCCAACUUCCCGAACACUCACACUGCAGCCACUUUCUCUUUGCCAGACCCACACAAGCUGUCUAACCAGCCAAAAUCCCAAGGGGCAAUCCCAAUCUCCUGCCUCCCUUGUUUCAGCCCCAGAAAACUGGGAAAUAAAGCCAGGGCAGCCCAAAAGCCCCUGAGAUACCCAGCACAUGUAACGGAGGGAUGGUGAACAGCCCUUCUUCCCAACCUGGCUCCUUGCAUAGGUGCUCCCUGCCUCCAGCACAAAGGAAACGGAUUUCAGGGGGAGCUGAGAAGGUGUUUCUGGAAAUCCUGGUGUCUCUGGAAGCCCAGAUACCUUUAAUUCCUGAGCGUCUGUUCAGUGCUCAGCCUAACAAAGAAACUGCCUGGAUUUAUCGCUGUGUGUUUUGCGUGAGGUGCUUCCUCUCCUCCACAGCCAGAACCACCUUCUGUUCCCUCAAACACCUUCCGAAGGCUGUGUGGAUUCAGGUAUUACACAUCGCCAUCCUCAGCGUUUGGGCAAACCUGGGUGGGGGGUCUGGGGAAGGCCCCAGGACGAGGUGUGAGCUCGGUUUUUGGGGGUACCUGCUCCCCGCAUUGUGCGGAGCAUCCCUGGGAAAGGCAGGGCUCAGCCUCCCGAAGCACAAUGCAGAUUUAGUCGUCAUCUUUGUCUCUCCCCCCGCGCCCCCCCGCUCCACUCCCCGCUGAUGUUAACUGUCUGUAUUAUUAUUUAUUGUUAUCAGGGGAUUUGGUUUGAUCAA